GCAGUGGUGGUUUAGUGGUCAGAUUCUCACCUUCUGUGCCAGAGACCCAGGUUCAAUUCCCAGCCAGUGCA
rnacentral:tRNA from 1 species